CUUUUCUUCUUCUUCUUUUUUUUGAGACAGGGUCUCGGUAUGUAGUCCAGGCUGGCCUUGAACUCACAGCCAUCUUCCUGCCCCAGCUUCCUGAGUGCUGGUAGUGUCCCGAAGCCUGGCUUCAUUUUUCAUUCAACGAAGACUUCAUUUGUAAAAUGAACCAACAAUCCCUUCUUCCCACAACUGAGCUGUUGUUCUAAGGGGAGCUGAAUGAAAACUCUUUCAGGGUCUCACAACCCUGUGUCCUAGGCAGAGCACCUCCUCCUGGCUUGGUUAUGAGCGUUUGUUUGUAAGAUGGAGAACUGUUUGGAGCAUUGUUAAGAUUCAAAGGUAAUAAAGACACAAAAUAGCCUCAGUAGAAAGUAGCGGUCAUUGUUCUACUCUGGGGUGGGGUUCCCGAUUCUGCAAGGGGCUCUUAACCUAGAAAGUUUGCGAACAGACGGCAUAAACUGCUGGGUGCCGCCGGGAAACUGUCCUCACAUAAAACGGGGCUGGCCGGGAAGGCGCGGCGCCAUGGAAAUUAGAAGACCCCGGUUCCAUGGCUAACUGGCUUCCCCUAAGUGGGGGAUCUGUUAAAAAAGCGGGGUGGGAAGACGGUGGUCCGAGUCUCAGGCAAGGCUCACCCCAAGCGAGCCUCAGACCCAGGGUUAAAAGGGCUCAGGAGCGCGGGCCGCACGCAGGGCGAACUACGCCUCCCAGUGUGCUCCGCGCGCGCGCCAGCGUCUUACACCGACACGUGACCCCUCACUGUCUCUCGCGAGAGGACGGGCCGCGACGGCGGUAGUGUUAGCCAGCCCUGGUGGUUGUGGUGGUGGUGGUGGUGGUGGUGGCGGCCGAGGCGCCGGCGGCCAUUUUGGGGAGGCCUCGGCAGCGGUGGCGGCGGCGGCAGCAGCUUGCUGAGAAUAGCGUCUGCCUUCUUCCCAACUCACUGCCCGCGACUCUGUGCCGAGGAGGCAGUGCAGGAAAGGCGGUGGCAGUAGCCGCGGUCCCCAGGGGAAUUUAAAGGCCGUGAAGGCUGCGGCCAAGAGGGGGCCCUCCCCCCUCCUCGGCGGGAGGGGUGGUGGUGCGCACGCCCCCGAGGACGCAGGUGUGAUUCCCCUCAUUACGGCGGCACCGUGGAAGUGCAGACUUUCACAGGGGGUGUGGUCUCAGCUCACACAGGGUUUGAUGCUGUGGAUGGAGGAAGAUAGGGUCACCUUCGUUUGACCAGGAAGAGUAACAGGUUCUCUAUGGCCGGACAUGGUGAUAUAUAUCUGUAAUCCCAGCACUCGGGAGGCUGAGGUGGGAAGAUUACUGCAAGUUCGAGUCCAG
rnacentral:lncRNA from 1 species